rnacentral:rRNA from 1 species
GAUGAACGCUGGCGGCGUGCCUAAUACAUGCAAGUCGAGCGAACAGAUAAGGAGCUUGCUCCUUUGACGUUAGCGGCGGACGGGUGAGUAACACGUGGGUAACCUACCUAUAAGACUGGGAUAACUUCGGGAAACCGGAGCUAAUACCGGAUAACAUUUGGAACCGCAUGGUUCUAAAGUGAAAGAUGGUUUUGCUAUCACUUAUAGAUGGACCCGCGCCGUAUUAGCUAGUUGGUAAGGUAACGGCUUACCAAGGCAACGAUACGUAGCCGACCUGAGAGGGUGAUCGGCCACACUGGAACUGAGACACGGUCCAGACUCCUACGGGAGGCAGCAGUAGGGAAUAUUCGGCAAUGGGCGAAAGCCUGACGGAGCAACGCCGCGUGAGUGAUGAAGGGUUUCGGAUCGUAAAACUCUGUUAUUAGGGAAGAACAAAAGUGUAAGUAACUGUGCACGUCUUGACGGUACCUAAUCAGAAAGCCACGGCUAACUACGUG